GCCAGUAUAGUGUAGUGGUAUGUGUUGGACUAUGACUCUGGAGACCAGGGUUCAAUUCCCAGCUUGGCCA